rnacentral:rRNA from 1 species
GGGGAAUAUUGCGCAAUGGGGGAAACCCUGACGCAGCAAUACCGCGUGAGUGAAGAAGGUUUUCGGAUCGUAAAACUCUGUUGUCAGGGCAGAACCAGUACGUCAGGCAAUGGACGUACCUUUACGCUACCUUAUUAUAAAGCCACGCCUCAUUCCGUGCCAGCAUCCGCGGUAAUACGUAGGUGGCAAGCGUUGUCAGGAAUUAUUGGGCGUAAAGCGCGCGCAGGUGGUUUCUUAAGUCUGAUGUGAAAGCCCACGGCUUAACCGUGGAGAGUCAUUGGAAACUGGGAGACUUGAGUGCAGAAGAGGAAAGUGGAAUUCCAAGUGUAGCGGUGAAAUGCGUAGAGAUUUGGAGGAACACCAGUGGCGAAGGCGACUUUCUGGUCUGCAACUGACGCUGAGGCGCGAAAGCAUGGGGAGCAAACA